UACGAAGGGGGCUAGCGUUGCUCGGAAUUACUGGGCGUAAAGGGCGCGUAGGCGGACAGUUUAGUCAGAGGUGAAAGCCCAGGGCUCAACCCUGGAAUUGCCUUUGAUACUGGCUGUCUUGAGUACGGGAGAGGUGUGUGGAACUCCGAGUGUAGAGGUGAAAUUCGUAGAUACUCGGAAGAACACCAGUGGCGAAGGCGACACACUGGCCCGUUACUGACGCUGAGGCGCGAAAGCGUGGGGAGCAAACAGG
rnacentral:rRNA from 1 species